AUACGGAGGGGGUUAGCGUUGUUCGGAAUUACUGGGCGUAAAGCGCACGUAGGCGGAUUGGAAAGUAGGGGGUGAAAUCCCAGGGCUCAACCCUGGAACUGCCUCCUAAACUAUCAGUCUAGAGUUCGAGAGAGGUGAGUGGAAUUCCAAGUGUAGAGGUGAAAUUCGUAGAUAUUUGGAGGAACACCAGUGGCGAAGGCGGCUCACUGGCUCGAUACUGACGCUGAGGUGCGAAAGCAUGGGGAGCAAACAGGAUUAGAAACCCCAGUAGUCC
rnacentral:rRNA from 1 species